ensembl:snoRNA
CUGCACAGUGAACACCCAAGUGUGCUUUGUAGUUCCCUUGGUUUCAAUUCUGUGCUAGAAUAAUCUGUACUUUUCCUCUGCAUUGAAGGGAUUUGCAUUCCUUUUAUAUGUAUUCAGAAGGACAGUACAUUU